UCUGAUGUUGCAUCUAUGCAACGGCACGGAAGGCCCUUGUCAAAGCACACGUUCCAGUUUUUGGUUCACGGGUGUGCUCGACGGACCCUCGGAGCAAGGUCUGUAAAGCCCCAGCGUCCAAGAUUUCCGUCCCUGCCAGGAAUGAAGAAGACCGUCGCGUGGCCCGGGAAAUGGGGGUCGGGUGUUCGAGGGGCAUCUGAGUCCCUGGAAGACGGGGGGGUCGUCCCCAGCAGGUGCCAAGGACUGAAGGCCCCAAGGAGUCAGCAGUGAGGUCCUUGUCCUGGGAGGAGGGAGCUGCUAGCGUGCGUUUCCGGAGCAUCUCGCAGGUGAGGGCGCCGUGCGUGGCACGGGGCGAGGACCGGGGAAGGAACACGCGCGGGGCCGGCGGCUUUGAGGAACUUGGAGCCUGGCGGGGAGCUCACCACAGCGCAGUCACCUCAUUCUGGCUCCGCUGGGAGGGAGGCCGUGUGUCUGCUGGUGGGUCAUUCCAUCGGAGUCCUCCAAGAUACAGGAGGGGACGGAGACCUGGCGGUUCCGUCCCAAGAGCCAGGAGGCACUCAGUGGCAAGUGCACACACGAGCACGCAACAUGGAGAGAGCAGGACAUCUGGGAGUCACAUGGUCUCUGUGCCCAGGAAGUCACCCAGGAGGCAGCCCGGGAUUAGGGCACAGUCAGUGUGCCCAGAGGGAUCAGGUGAGGGGUGCCAGGCAGGGGGGGGGGCAUCCCGCAGCGAGCGCCCACGAAGCCGCGAUGGCGGGGAGGACCAAACACUCCACGUGCGAGGUCCAAAAGGCCAGAACGGGCACAGGGACACGCACAGGGCUGUGCUGUCCUGUGUGCGGGGACGGGGGCUUGCGUUUGGCGGGAGAGCGCUAACCAGAGGUCGGGUCACCCCUGUCAAAGCGGCUUGUUCCUCCCCGAGCUGGGUCGGUCCUGGUGCAGCAAGGGUGGGCUUUUCCCGGACCGGGAGGGAGGAAGUGACCCGGGGAGAGCAGCCGGCUCAUUUUGCCAUAAGUUUGGGUGGUGGGGGGAUUUCCUGGCUACGGUCACCAGUCUGCCGAUUCCUAGGGAAGGAACAAGUCCUGGGGCCCCUGGGGGGCUCAGUCGGUUGAGCGUCCGACUUCGGCUCAGGUCAUGAUCUCGCGGUUCGUGGGUUCGAGCCCU